rnacentral:rRNA from 1 species
GACGAACCGUGCAAACGUUGUUCGGAAUCACUGGGCGUAAAGGGCGCGUAGGCGGCACCGCGCGUCCGGGGUGAAAUCCUCCCGCUUAACGGGAGAACGGCCUCGGAUACGGCGGUGCUCGAGGGGAAUAGGGGCGAGCGGAACAGCCGGUGGAGCGGUGAAAUGCGUUGAGAUCGGCUGGAACUCCGGUGGCGAAGGCGGCUCGCUGGGUUCUCACUGACGCUGAGGCGCGAAAGCCAGGGGAGCGAACGGG